rnacentral:rRNA from 1 species
UACGUAGGGGGCAAGCGUUGUCCGGAUUCAUUGGGCGUAAAGAGCGUGUAGGCGGCUGGGUAGGUCUGCUGUGAAAACUUGAGGCUCAACCUCAAGAGGUCGGUGGAAACCAUCCAGCUAGAGUCCGGAAGAGGAGAAUGGAAUUCCUGGUGUAGCGGCGAAAUGCGCAGAUAUCAGGAAGAACACCCGUGGCGAAGGCGGUUCUCUGGGACGGUACUGACGCUGAGACGCGAAAGCGUGGGGAGCGAACAGG